CGGUUAUUUCAAAUUUUAUUUUUCCGAUUACAUUAGGAAAGGAAAUCUUCACCUUGUUUAAAGUUGCUUGAACAAUCUAAAAUGUAACAUUAGUGUAACGGCUCUCUUCUAUCUCCUCCUCUGACGAAGAGGUAGAACAAGGAUCGGACCAAAAUGCAGCGUGAUGAUGAUUCAUGAUAUAUUUUAAUGAAGGAAAACCUAUACAUACAGAAACUACAAAUCUAACAAAAUGAAAUAAUGACAACAGCCUAUCUGGUGAAAUACAAAACACUAAGAAAGGAACAAUCACCCACAAACACACAGUGAAACCCAGGCUACCUAAAUAUGGUUCCCAAUCAGAGACAACGAGAAUCACCUGACUCUGAUUGAGAACCUCAGGCAGCCAUAGACUAUGCUAGACACCCCUACUCAGCCACAAUCCCAAUACCUACUAAAACCCCCAAUACCACAACACAACACAAAAUAACCCCAUGUCACACCCUGGCCUGACCAAAUAAUAUAUAAACACAAAAUACUAAGACCAGGGCGUGACAAUUAGAAUUACAAUGAACAAUUGAAUAAUUUAGCUGAUGAUCAAGCAAUGAGUGCAUCCCAAUAAGGAUAAUGAAGCAAGCACAAAAUGCACCGUAGGUACUGUAAAUCAAAAACAACAGUAGAAGAAAUCCCCACAAUUAUAAAAUCCUAAAUUACAGAAAAAAAAACAUUUCAAUAAUUAAAAUUGAACAUAAAUAUUUUCUUGAGGAAGUGCACAAACACAAUUAGUAUUUAAAAGUAGUAAACAAUAAGUCCUAGGUAGGAGAGGGUUAGGCAAAACAGUAACUACACUGUAUGGACAAAUAAAGUUCAUUCCAUCAUUCCAGUGACAUGGACAAAAAAAGUCCUUUGCUCUCUUCUAAAAUGAUCAUCUUAUCAUAUCUUAACCAAAUAUUAUGUUAUUUGUUUGGUAUCUUGAAAAGUAUUGUAAUUGGGGUUAGGAUGAAGUCAAAAUACUCAUAUCAGUUGAUGAUUAAUGCAGUUAGUGUAGUUAGUAGUGUCGCAAACAUUAAAACAGCUAUAUCCAGUUUGAGCCCCAGCAGUUCACAGUAAGGUUGAGUCAUGGGGAGUAGAUUGAGUGAGUGGAUGUUAUGAAACCACCCACGUUCCACCUGAGUCAUGCUUCACAUAUUAUCAGAUUAUUAAACUAACAAUAGAAGAGGGAGAAGCCUUUGAUCGUAUGUCAUUUUGUGGCGGUCAUAUUAAUUACUCCUUAUAAUAACAUUUGUAGUAACUACUGUAAACCAUUUUCAAACUUUCUGUUAAGGUACAGUACCAGUCAAAGGUUUGGACACACCUACUCAUUCCAGGGUUUUUCUUAAUUUUGACUAUUUUCUACAUUGUAGAUAAUAGUGAAGACAUCAAAACUAUGAAGUAACUAACACAUAUGGAAUCAUGUAGUAACCAAAAGUGUCAAACAAAUCAAAAUAUAUUUUAUAUUUGACAUUCUUCAAAGUAGCCACCCUUUGCCUUGAUGACAGCUCAACCAGCUUCAUGUGGAGCCAGGACAAUAACCUCCCCCUCAAUGUGAUCAAGUCAAAGGAGAUGAUUGUGGACUACAGGAAAAGGAGGACCGGACCCCAUUCUCAUUGACGGAGCUGCAGGUUGAGAGCUUCAAGUUCCUUGGCGUCCACAUCACCAACAAACUAACAUGGUCCAAGCACACCAAGACAGUCGUGAAGAGGGCACAACAAAACCUAUUCCCCCUCAGGAGACUGAAAAGAUUUGGCAUGGGUUCUCAGAUUCUCAAAAGGUUUUACAGCUGCACCAUCAACAGCAUCCUGACUGGUUGCACCAUUGCCUGGUAUGGCAACUGCUCGGCCUCCGACCGCAAGGCAUUACAGAGGGUAGUGCGUAUGGCCCAGUACAUCACUGGGGCCAAGCUUCCUGCCAUCCAGGACUUCUAUACCAGGCAGUGUCAGAGGAAGGCCCUAAAAUUGUUAAAGACUCCAGCCCCCCAAAAAGACUCCAGCCCCCCCUGCUACCGCACAGCAAGCGGUACCGGAGUGCCAAGUCUAGGUCCAAGAGGCUUCUAAACAGCUUCUAUCCCCAAACCAUUACACUCCUGAACAUCUAAUAAAAUGGCUACCCAGACUAUUUGCAUUGCCCCCCCCCUCCCCUCUAUUAUGCCGUUGCUACUAUGUUAUUAUCUAUGCAUAGUCACUUUAAUAACUUUAAUAACCUACAUGUACAUAUUACCUCAACUAACCAGUGCCCCCGCACAUUGACUCUGUACCGGUACCCCCUGUAUAUAGUCUCACUAUUGUUAUUUUUCUGCUGCUCUUUAACUACUUGUUACUUUUAUUUCUUAUUCUUAUUCAUAUUUUUUAAACUGCAUUGUUGGUUAGAGGCCUGUAAGUAAGCAUUUCACUGUAAGGUUAGUGGGACUAUCAUUUGUUUUCAACAGGACAAUGACCCAAAACACACCUCCAAGCUGUGUAAGGUCUAUUUGACCAAGGAGAGUGAUGGAGUGCUGCAUCAGAUGACCUGUCCUCCACAAUCACCCGAACUCAACCCAAUUGAGAUUGUUUGGGACCGCAGAGUGGAGGAAAAGCAGCCAACAACUGCUCAGCAUAUGUGGGAACUUCUUCAAGCAUUCCUCAUUAAGCUGGUUGAGAGAAUGCCAAGAGUGUGCCAAGCUGUCAUCAAGGCAAAGGGUGGCUACUUUGAAGAAUUUCAAAUCUAAAAUAUAUUUGGAUUUGUUUAACACUUUUUUUGCUUACUACAUGAUUCAAUAUGUGUUAUUUCAAAGUUUUGAUGUCUUCUUUACUAUUACUCUACAAUGUAGAAGAUAGUAAAAGAUUAAGAAAAACCCUGGAAUGAGUAGGUGUCUCCAAACUUUUGACUGGUACUGUAUGUUAAUGUAGGCAUUCUUUCAGGUGUUUUAUCACUGCGUCACACAUGAUGGCAAACACUAAUCCAUGCAGAUUUUAUAUAUCUUUUAAAACAUUUGAUUAAUUUACCCCAAUGAGAUUAGUAUUAAAAUAGCCUGCUGGCUAAAUGGUGAUGAUGGCUCAUACUAGUGGACCCAUAGGUUAACCCCUGCAAUAAUACCUCCUCAUUUGUUUUUUAUAUCAUUCCAUCCACUUCUAUGCGCCUCAUCACGUGUCUCAAAUUAAUCCUUUUUCUCCUGAGAAUAAAACAAUGGUUGGAUUGCAUAUUUAUUUUUGUUGGUGCUCCAAAAUCAUAGCAAUUAUUGAAAAACUACAGUAAUGAGUUACAGUAUAUCAACACAAUCAUACUCCUAUUAUGAAUAAAUGAUUCUGAAUAAAAAAUGUCUCUACAAAGCACAAUUAUAUUACUGUAGAUAACUUACCUGACAUUGAUUAAUCCAAAUCCCAACAUCAAUGCCAACGCUAAUGUCAAAGGCAAAAGGCCAAAGGAAAGUUAUUAACCAAAUCCACCAGGGUAUAUUGUGUUUUGGCUCUGAAAAACAUGAGAACUAUGACAUGGAACUCCAAAGGAACAAUACACGAUUGAUACUCAAAUGAAUCCAUGCAGAUACAUACUGUAGAUCAGGUAUUCCCAAACUGGGAAGGGGGUACGCGCAAUACCGUCGGGGUUACUCCAAACAAAAAUGUGAUUCAUAUUUAAAAAACUUUCCUUUUUUUUUCACAUUUUCAAACAGUCCUUAUAUUUUCCAACGGGGUUAUACAUUUGGGUGAGUUUUUUCUCUCUCGCCUGAGUAUCCUCGUUUCACUGCCCAAAAUAAAAUUUAACCAUCGGGUGUUCAGUGAAAUAACAACACAAUGUUGAAUACAGGUAGCCUAGUCAAAUAAUUAACAUCCAAUCACAUUAUCCGUUACGCUCUCGUGGGAAUUCCACUAUUGGUCCAUAUAUAACCAAAUGUAGCUGCUGCUCAUGUUGGUAUCUGUACUGAUGGAGAAAAAGCCAUGACAGGGAGACAUACAGGCACAAACUGUGCGUGGAAAAUUAUUUAAGACUGAUUCUCUCCAAUACAACCCAACAUUGCAGAGUUAUGUGCAUCCUUUCAAGCACACACUUCUCAUUAACCUGUGGUGAGUUAUUCACGAUUUUUGAUGAACAAAUAAGAUUUUAUAUGUAAGAUGGCGAAAUAAAGAGCAAAAUUAUUGAUUAUUAUUAUUUGUGCCCUGGUCCUAUAACAGCUCUUUGUCACUUCCCACGAGCUGGGUUAUGACAAAAACUCACACUCAUGUGUGUGGAAGGCUUACAAUGAUGGCAAAAAAACAACAUUUGAGAGUACACUGACCCUGGUGCUAGAGGGGGUACGCAGCUGGAGGUUGAAUGUUUGAAGGGGUACGGGACUAUAAAACGUUUGGGAACCACUGCUGUAGAUCAACCUCUGUCCAGUAGACCCUUCAUUUUGCAAUGUAUCUCUGUACAUCAGGUAUUAAUACAUCCACAUCUUCCAACUCAAUGCUUUUUCUUCUUCUGGGGAACUGAGAUAUUGUCAUUGUGAUAAAAUCUAAUACAAAAUGUAUUAAAUUACCUGUUUUAUUCUUCAGAUUGUCUGGUUUUCUUGAUGUUGUUGGUAGUUGUGUUU
ensembl:lncRNA